AUUGAACGCUGGCGGCAUGCCUUACACAUGCAAGUCGAACGGCAGCACGGGAGCAAUCCUGGUGGCGAGUGGCGAACGGGUGAGUAAUAUAUCGGAACGUGCCCGGUCGUGGGGGAUAACGUAGCGAAAGCUACGCUAAUACCGCAUACGAUCUACGGAUGAAAGCGGGGGAUCGCAAGACCUCGCGCGAUUGGAGCGGCCGAUAUCAGAUUAGGUAGUUGGUGAGGUAAAGGCUCACCAAGCCGACGAUCUGUAGCUGGUCUGAGAGGACGACCAGCCACACUGGGACUGAGACACGGCCCAGACUCCUACGGGAGGCAGCAGUGGGGGAAUUUUGGACAAUGGGCGCAAGCCUGAUCCAGCAAUGCCGCGUGCAGGA
rnacentral:rRNA from 1 species